CGCGUAGGUGGAGAUACAAGUCCGGAGUGAAAGUCCCGUUUUCAAGGUGGGAAUGGCUUUGGAAACUGUAUGGCUUGAGUGUGGGAGAGGAUAGCGGAAUUCCCGGUGUAGCGGUGAAAUGCGUAGAGAUCGGGAGGAACACCAGUGGCGAAGGCGGCUAUCUGGACCAAGACUGACACUGAAGCGCGAAAGCGUGGGUAGCGAACG
rnacentral:rRNA from 1 species